GAUGAACGCUGGCGGCGUGCCUAACACAUGCAAGUCGAGCGGUAUAUAGUGGAAUGAAACUUCGGUCGAGUGAAGCUAUAGAGAGCGGCGGACGGGUGAGUAACGCGUAGGCAACCUGCCCCAUACAGAGGGAUAGCCUCGGGAAACCGGGAUUAAAACCUCAUAACGCGAGGAGUUCACAUGGACUUCUCGCCAAAGAUUCAUCGGUAUGGGAUGGGCCUGCGUCUGAUUAGCUAGUUGGUGAGGUAACGGCUCACCAAGGCGACGAUCAGUAGCCGACCUGAGAGGGUAAUCGGCCACAUUGGAACUGAGACACGGUCCAAACUCCUACGGGAGGCAGCAGUGGGGAAUAUUGCACAAUGGGCGAAAGCCUGAUGCAGCAACGCCGCGUGAGCGAUGAAGGCCUUUGGGUCGUAAAGCUCUUUCGGACGGAAGAAAUCGCCGCCUCUAACAUAGGCGGUGGAUGACGGUACCGUAAGAAGAAGCACCGGCUAA
rnacentral:rRNA from 1 species